AGAGUUUGAUCCUGGCUCAGGACGAACGCUGGCGGCACGCUUAACACAUGCAAGUCGAACGAGAGAAGAGGAGCUUGCUUUUCUGAUCUAGUGGCGGACGGGUGAGUAACACGUGAGCAAUCUGCCUUUCAGAGGGGGAUACCGAUUGGAAACGAUCGUUAAUACCGCAUAACAUAAUUGAACCGCAUGAUUUGAUUAUCAAAGAUUUAUCGCUGAAAGAUGAGCUCGCGUCUGAUUAGCUAGUUGGUAAGGUAACGGCUUACCAAGGCGACGAUCAGUAGCCGGACUGAGAGGUUGAUCGGCCACAUUGGGACUGAGACACGGCCCAGACUCCUACGGGAGGCAGCAGUGGGGAAUAUUGCACAAUGGAGGAAACUCUGAUGCAGCGAUGCCGCGUGAGGGAAGAAGGUUUUAGGAUUGUAAACCUCUGUCUUCAGGGACGAAAAAAGACGGUACCUGAGGAGGAAGCUCCGGCUAACUACGUGCCAGCAGCCGCGGUAAUACGUAGGGAGCGAGCGUUGUCCGGAAUUACUGGGUGUAAAGGGAGCGUAGGCGGGAUCGCAAGUCAGAUGUGAAAACUAUGGGCUUAACCCAUAAACUGCAUUUGAAACUGUGGUUCUUGAGUGAAGUAGAGGUAAGCGGAAUUCCUAGUGUAGCGGUGAAAUGCGUAGAUAUUAGGAGGAACAUCAGUGGCGAAGGCGGCUUACUGGGCUUUAACUGACGCUGAGGCUCGAAAGCGUGGGGAGCAAACAGGAUUAGAUACCCUGGUAGUCCACGCCGUAAACGAUGAUUACUAGGUGUGGGGGGACUGACCCCUUCCGUGCCGCAGCAAACGCAAUAAGUAAUCCACCUGGGGAGUACGACCGCAAGGUUGAAACUCAAAGGAAUUGACGGGGGCCCGCACAAGCAGUGGAGUAUGUGGAUUAAUUCGAAGCAACGCGAAGAACCUUACCAGGUCUUGACAUCGUAUGCAUAGCUCAGAGAUGAGUGAAAUCUCUUCGGAGACAUAUAGACAGGUGGUGCAUGGUUGUCGUCAGCUCGUGUCGUGAGAUGUUGGGUUAAGUCCCGCAACGAGCGCAACCCUUACUGUUAGUUGCUACGCAAGAGCACUCUAGCAGGACUGCCGUUGACAAAACGGAGGAAGGUGGGGAUGACGUCAAAUCAUCAUGCCCCUUAUGACCUGGGCCUCACACGUACUACAAUGGCUGUCAACAGAGGGAAGCAAAGCCGCGAGGUGGAGCGAACCCCUAAAAGCAGUCUUAGUUCGGAUUGUAGGCUGCAACCCGCCUACAUGAAGUCGGAAUUGCUAGUAAUCGCAGAUCAGCAUGCUGCGGUGAAUACGUUCCCGGGCCUUGUACACACCGCCCGUCACUCCAUGGGAGUCGGUAACACCCGAAGCCUGUAGUCUAACCGCAAGGAGGACGCAGUCGAAGGUGGGAUUGAUGACUGGGGUGAAGUCGUAACAAGGUA
rnacentral:rRNA from 1 species